UACGUAGGGGGCAAGCGUUGUCCGGAUUUAUUGGGCGUAAAGAGCUCGUAGGUGGUUCGGUAAGUCGGGUGUGAAACCUCCAGGCUCAACCUGGAGACGCCACCUGAUACUGCUGUGACUGGAGUCCGGUAGGGGAGCGUGGAAUUCCUGGUGUAGCGGUGAAAUGCGCAGAUAUCAGGAGGAACACCAGCGGCGAAGGCGGCGCUCUGGGCCGGUACUGACACUGAGGAGCGAAAGCGUGGGUAGCAAACAGG
rnacentral:rRNA from 1 species